CCCUUAGAUGUUCGGGGCCGCACGCGCGCUACACUGAAGGAAUCAGCGUGCUCUUGUCCUGGUCUGGAAAGACUGGGUAACCCGUUGAACCUCCUUCGUGCUAGGGAUUGGGGCUUGCAAUUAUUCCCCAUGAACGAGGAAUUCCCAGUAAGUGCGGGUCAUAAGCUUGCGUUGAUUAAGUCCCUGCCCUUUGUACACACCGCCCGUCGCUACUACCGAUUGGAUGGUUUAGUGAGGCCCUCGGAUCGGCCCCGCCGGGGUCGGCCCACGGCCCUGGCGGAGCGCUGAGAAGACGGUCGAACUUGGCUAUCUAGAGGAAGUAAAAGUCGUAACA
rnacentral:rRNA from 1 species